CCUAUCAUUCUGGCCGUUUCACUUCGUUUCGCAAAGAAGAUAAUGAUCGUUCAUCCCCACAAACCCUAAUCGCAUCAGCAAUCAUCAAGCAUGAGCAUAAUCCGGUGUAAAACUUUGAUUCUUGCUUCCAAUUUAUGAUUUUCGGUAUGUUUCUUGCUUCCAAUUUAUCGAUCAAUUGUAAGUGCUAAUCCUAACCCUUUCCUUUUCAUAUUGUUAUUCUCGGUAUAUUGGAUCCUUGAUUUUUGAUGUUAUAAAUGUAUUCUUUGUUGGAUCUUUGUUUCUGAUUUCACCAGAUUCAGAUCCUUUGUCCAUUGAAGCUUCAUGUCCUCAUUUCUUCCAUUUGUUUCAGGAAAUAUUGCCAAUUAUCUACAGAUUUUUUGCUGAAUUUUUAAACAAUUCUUUAUUGCUAAAGUGUGCUACCGAUUAGGGUUUUAUUGAUAAUUUGAUUCUUCGUCGCCGUAGUAAAUAGGAGAGAAAAUAGAAUUUCUUUCUAAUUAUAAAUGUCCGGUGAAUCAAAUGUGCUCCGAUUUUGGUGUUGAAUAUGUAGUAUUGAUUUUUAGGUUAUGUUAACUGAGUGCGAUUUACUUGCAGGAAGAGACAGUGGAAUAUGUAACAUCCAACAUGUGGUUUCCAAUUUAGUAGUUUUUUUUCUUUUGGAAGUUUGAAGAUGUAUGCUCUACUGAUUUGAAUAUUCGAUUUAUGCAGUGCUUUUUCACUGGCCAACGACGGCAACAGAGCUUUUUGGAUGUUCUUAUGCAGUGCUUUUUCAUUUGCCAGCAACGACAACAGAGCUACAAAGACAACUGUGGCGGCGACUAAGGGUGAUGUUGAUGACAAUUUUGGUACACAGCAACAGUGGAAUAGGGUUUCACUGUGACCCUGACGGCUGCGGGUGUAGUUUCCGCUGGUGACGUCCUGACGAUUUUGAUGGUUCAGCAUGUAGUAAGUGGUUCGAUUUCAAGAGGAUACACUGUUGCACGAUGGCUCUUUGUUUUGAGAUUCUCGGGAGGUUCAAUCGUGCUCGUGCAGCCCGGCUAACUCUCCCUCACUUUGUUUGUGAGACACCACUAUUUAUGCCCGUUGGAACACAAGGGACAAUAAAAGGUUUGACCACCAACCAACUUGAGGAUAUUGGAUGCCAAAUUAUACUCGGAAAUACAUAUCAUUCAGCACUCCGUCCGACUUCUGAGCUUAUAGAUGAAUUAGGUGGUCUUCACAAAUUUAUUGACCUUUAGAAUUUCUUCUGUAGGUGCUGGGUAAAGUGUGGUCAAUAGCCUUCAAGUAUAAUUUCCUCAUGCCACCAUAUUAUUCUCUUCUGAUACGAUCUCUAGCUUCCUUUGAAGUUGUUUUGUCGUUUUACGGGUGCCGAAUAGGUGGGCCGGAGAAGACAAUACACCAUUCCGAGACACUAAAAUUUUUGACCUGAAAUGUUGACAUGUCCGAACGAACGUGUUUAUCUUCUGACCAAUACGAACCCACCUUUGUUAAGCAAUAGAGAAAUCGAGUGUUGUUGUUUCCUAAGGCUUCUAUCAAGCUUCAUAAAUGUAUCAACUAUUGUGGCCUAUUUACAGACAUAUUUAAUUAUACCUUCUAAUAAAGGCCAUAAUAUAGAAGCUUUAAUACAUGGUCUGAGCAAAGAGCACAUGAAGAAAGUGAAAGAUUGAGGCGAGUAGUCGGUUGCGGCUCAGAAUUAAAUCGAUGAUCUAGAUGAAAACCAGUUGUCAACUACAUUGCUUGUCAACUACAUUGCUGAUGAAGUUUCUGUACAUGCAACCAAGUCAGCUAAUGUUUGGAAAGCACCGGGUGCACCUGAUUAGGUAAUAUUUUAUAACAUGUUAUAUCACAUUUUAUUUUGUAACACGUUAUAUCACAUUUUAGUAUGUUCCUAUCGGACAUUUGUCCGAAAACCUUAUAGACUUUCAUUGAAUCUGCAUGUAACUCCAUGUAUUUUAUUUUUGUGAGAACCGUAGACUUCUAAAACUUAGUGAAGAAGUCUUUUUUAUUCAAGUUUAGGGACUUAAUCAUGAAAAAAAGACUUUUUCAUUUAUAUUUUGAUAUGUACAGGGAUUUUAUCUCCCAAAAUAGAACUUUUAUGCGAGU